CAUAAAAUCACCAAUUAUUAAGUUGCACUUAAUAAUCACCAUUAUUAAGAGUGCAACUUAAUAAUUGGUGAUUUUAUG